rnacentral:misc_RNA from 1 species
AACCUUAUGGACCUGCGGGCGUAUACCUGCGGAAGGAUCAUUACCGAGUUUACAACUCCCAAACCCCUGUGAACAUACCUAUACGUUGCCUCGGCGGAUCAGCCCGCGCCCUGUAAAAAGGGACGGCCCGCCCGAGGACCCUAAACUCUGUUUUUAGUGGAACUUCUGAGUAAAACAAACAAAUAAAUCAAAACUUUUAGCAAUGGAUCU